GUGUCAGCAGCCGCGGUAAUACAGAGGUCCCAAGCGUUGUUCGGAUUCACUGGGCGUAAAGGGUGCGCAGGUGGGUUGGCAAGUUCGAUGUGAAAGCCCCGGGCUUAACCCGGGAAUGGCAUUGAAAACUGUCGAUCUGGAGGAUUGGAGGGGGGACUGGAAUUCUUGGUGUAGCAGUGAAAUGCGUAGAUAUCAAGAGGAACACCAGUGGCGAAGGCGAGUCCCUGGACAAUACCUGACACUGAGGCACGAAAGCCAAGGGAGCAAACAGGAUUAGAUACCCUGGUAGUCUUGGCUGUAAACGGUGCGUAUUUGCUGUAAACGGAAUCGACCCCGUUUGUGGCGUAGCUAACGCGAUAAAUACGCCGCCUGGGAAGUACGGUCGCAAGAUUAAA
rnacentral:rRNA from 1 species